AGAUUUUUUAGUAACUUUAAGUUUGGAGUUUUUUUUGCCUUAAGUGAAUUUUUUUUCUUUUCAGUUGAUCAAAAUGUUAUACUUCUCGGUUUCUCUUGAUAAGAGCAAUUAAUUGAAAAAUAAAAAAAAUAAUUAAAUUUGAAAAAAAAAUCACUAAAGAUAAAAAAAUUAGUUAAUUUGUCGAGUAUAACUUUUUUUUUGUCUUUAGUGAACUUUUUUAUUAAAAAGAUUUUGAUGAGACUUUUAAAAUGAGAUUAAUAUUAAGCAUAAUAAAGUUAAAAAAAUUAUAAUUUAAAUUUUUUUAAAAAAAUUAAAAAAUUAAUGAUUUUUUUUGCAGAUAGCGAUGGAAAUAGACACUUGAGUUGGAGUCGACAUUAGGCUACUUGGAGUUGGAGUCGACAUUAGGCUAAACGAUAAAUUAGCUAAAUUCUUUGUCUUUGGUAGAUUUAUUUUUAAAUUUGAACAAAUUUUUUAUAUUUUUAAAUUUUUUAAAAAAAUAUAAUUUUUUAUCGAAUUGGUAAAAAUAGUUCACUAAAAAUAAAAAAAAAAUCAAAAAUCAAAACAACUAAAACUCUAAAGUUGGUCCAAAGAAGCCCCAAGUCUUUUUUUGGUUUCUACUAUGGGCUCAAAUGCCCACAGUAUUGUUAUAACUUUUUCAUCAAAGCAAUUUAGAUUCCUAGGUUUAAUCCCAUGACUUUAGGCUCCGUUUUGGCCCCACUUUUUUUAGUAGCUUCGUUUCUGGCUUUUUUGGCUUAAAUAAGCAAAAAACAUCAGAGUGGCUUUUUUGGCUUUUCUUUUUGUCUUUUUGCUUAGUUUUUUUUAGAUAAAGUAAAGGCACAAAAGAAAAAAAGUCAAAAAAUAUUAACCUUUUUAAAUAACGUAAAAAACAGCUUAACUUUUAAGCAUACCAAACGGAGCCUUAGUGGGUCCUCGAGCCAUAUUUAAAUGAGCCAGUUUAUUGGUUGUAAUUACCACAUAAAAAUAAUACCACAAUUUCCUGAGGUCCUGGAAAUUACAUUUCCCUCCCUAUCAGAGUUUGUGUUUUUAACAGCCUUGAUAGAAAAAUUGCAAAUACUAAAUUACGCUCACUUUAUUCCUCUUCUACAAAUACUAAAUUACCCUCACUUUCAAUCCUUACCUUAUUCCUACUUUCUCUCAUGUUUAUCACCAAACCCAAAUAAUCUUUCUAACACUCACCUUCUUCCUUUUCCUCGUUAACGGAGGAUGUAGUAGCCUGACAGGUGUUAAUUAAAAUUCAAUUAGCAUAGAAAAAGCUUAAAGAAUGCGUUGAGGGUAAAAUUCACAGUGGAUAAUUUAAGUAGGGUGAGUUCAUCAUAUUCAAUUAAGUUAUUUAACACUUGACUAACGGAGGGGCCUAUAUGUGAUGUAAUAUUAAACUUCAGGAAGGGGAAAUGUAAUUUCCAGUACCUCAGGGGGAAUCUGCCUUAACCACAAACCUCAGGGGAUGUAUGUGUAAUUUGCCUUCGUUUUAUUUAUACUAUGCUUCUUUUGCAAGUUCACAUAUAUUUAAAAAAAUUGUUGGAUAAUGAUAUCGGAAAGUUCUCAAACAAUUACAAAUUCGUCUUAUAUACUUGUAGAGAUCUUUUUGUUUUUAAUUUUAAUAUUUUGGGUUAUUCGUUUUUACGACCUUGUCCUAUCGUUUGUAUUUUUCUUUUAAAAUAUAUUUCAUUCGUCACAAUUUACCCUCUGAAAAGUGGACAAAUAAACUAAAGGGGAGUAAUAGUCUUUGGGCCAAUUUUUCCCCCUCUCCACUGAUUAUACAAAGUUGUGCAAACCAGUGAGUCUCACCACGGGCCCUGAUCGGAUGAUUUGAAUUACUUAUUUUGUAAAUUUCAAAAUAAUUUAGAUUUUAGUAUUUUUUUUUCUAAAAAAAUAUGUUUAUUUUAUCAAUUCCUCUAAUGAAAGAUGAAUUGAAAAAAAAAAUAAUCAAAAAUUUUAAAACGUUUACCAAUGACAUAUUGGAAUCCGAUUUGGGUCUUUUUGAGUGGGCCUGAUGAUAAUGUAUAUCUGUCAAUAGGAAAUUAAAAGCGCAUUGAAUUAUCGCGCAUAUGUUUAAACCAAAAAAAUGAUAAAUUUCAUUGAUUGUCAUAUUCUCUGUAAUUUUUUAAAAUUACAAUGGUUUUUCAUACUUUGGGAAUUAUUAUCAAUUUUUUUCUUGAAACUAUUUUAUUUUUUAUUUUUCUAUCAACGCAUAAUUUUUUUAAAAAAGAAUUAUUCUAAAUAAUUUACUUUUUAAGUACUUCUAAUCAAAAUGUAUUUAAAAAAUAAAACUUUAUUAUCAAUAAGAAUUUUAUUUUAAAAUUGAUCUAAAUAAUUUUACUUUUUAAGUACUCCUAAUCUAAACAUACAUAAAAAAUAUAUUUUGUUAUUAUUUUUUUAAAAGCUAAUGCUUAUUUCUUAUAAUUGGUGUAAUAGAAAAUAAAUUUGAAGUCCUAAAUAUAAGUCAAUCUUGUUAUUUUUUUUUAAAUCUUCAAUAUAAUAGUACGAAGUAACAUAAAAGUUAUAUUGUAAUUAAUAUUGUUACAAUUUACAACUGUUGCGAUUUUUUAUUUUCUGAAAACGAACAAUAAUAGCAUCAUUAUUAAUUUUCUAAACCUCUUUUUCUCAAUAUAACAGCAAUUAUCAUAUUUAACCAAACAAAUGGCACUUAGCAAAAUAAUUGAAAUCAGAGCACAAAUUAGCACAUUUGAGUUCAAUUUGAAACAAAACACAGUUUGCAGUAACCUAAAAUCCACUAACCAAAAUAAGCAAAUUAACGUACAGAAGACUUUCAAUCCUAAAAUCCACAUAACAAAAAUAAGCAAAUUAACGUACGAAGACAAUUUCAAUUUAGUCUCCUGUUUAUUACUAUCAUCCCUAUUUUUUCUACUAGGGAUGCCGAGAAACCCAGGAAGGGCUAAACUGUCAAAAUCAAACUUCUAGAACUCAACUGUCAAAAUUCGAAAGUUCUGGGCCAAAUCGAUAAAUUAAAAUUUGGGGCCCAAUUGACAAAAUCAGAACUCUUGGGACCAAUUAAAAAUAUUCAAAACUUCAGGGACUAAACUGUAAUUAAUGAAACUCUAGGACCAAACUUAAUUAUCAAAAACUCCAGGGGACUAAAGUAUAAUUUACCUGGUCAAGCGACGCGGCUGGUCAACGUUCAAACGGCUCGUGAGGGCGCGUACGGACUCCGUUUUCGACGCGGUUUGGUGCUUGCGGUCUCCGUAUCGACAGAGGAACAACCUGGUGUCUCAAAAUUAAUUUUGAGGCACUUUCCCGGGCAUCCGGAAUGUCGACAUGGGCUCCGAAUCGCCUCCACCUAGGCUCUGCUCCAAUUUUGUGCUCAAAACUAAUUUAGGGACGGAUCACACACCCACAAAAGACAAUCAGAUUUACGUGUUUCUGCCAACAUUGCCUACGUCCACGGAGAGAAAUCCCAAUCCACUAUUCUACAGAAUGGAUUACCACGAGGGGAGACUCGCUCGCUCAACUCACACCCCUCUCACAAUCUCUCUUUGUCUUGCCUCUCAAUCUAACCUCCUCUCAGCUCACACACAACGCCCGUCACUGUAAAAAUCUAAGCACCCUACCAUCCCUUUUUAGACCAAGGAAGAGUUGUGGACUCCUAUCAGAAUACCUAAUCAUUAAUCCUAAUCUCUCUAGAAAAACAAAAAUGAUAAAGACUCUCCAGAGUUCUAGAUAAUCGAGAGUUUCACUGUCCAUGGACACUCCAUAGAACUCCAAUCGGGUUUGGGCUUGACUAGCGUACUUGGCUCACAGAUGGGCUGGACUCAACACGCAGCUGAUUAAUCAGGUAGCUAAGUGCCUUGUUUUCUUGUAAAUACUCCUAGCCUCGGAAGCAUCAUUCUGUGUAUUGUUGCAUUGUGGUCGUAGUUAUAUGUAGGAUACUUGCUCGCCAUCUCGAGAUCGCACCUAGUAGCUACUUGAUAUGGGGAAUUCCACUGUUGUUGAAACCGGUAUUUAAAAACCCGAGUCUAAUGCGGCUACUAAGUUUUUAUCACCAUCACGCAAAUAAAGUUUGGCAUUUAAAAUUUAUGCCUUUUUCCCGAGCCAUCUGGUGAAAUAAUUGCAACCUCGAGCACGAAGAGACACGAUAGUGAUUGGCUGAGAUUGAUUAUUCUACAAUUCCACAGCAAGGUGGGUUGAAUAUUUCAUAACUCAAAAACGACGUAGAAGAAACUUCCUAUAUUUUUUUCUCAUUGAAGUAAUUCUAGUAAUUUACAGGAAGAUACUGCCACUGGAGGACCAAAGGCGGGGAGAUCUGUAUCGAUUAGUUGUUGUGCAUGAACAAAAUCCUUGAAAGUGAGAAUUUUUGACACAAUUACUCUUUUUUUAUACUGUAUUGGAACUAACUCUGCAUACUUCUCAUCUCAUUAUCUGUCCAUUCAUAGAACUAGAGCAAGAACCUAUUUCUCACUCAAACUUGAGGUUUUGUCAAUUUGAAGUUUCGUGUUUCAUUCAACUUGAAAGUGAUCUAGAAAACUUCCCACUAAUUUUUUCCUUUCAAAACUAGUUCUCUGUUUGUAUAUUGAAUUUGUGAAAGGGAUACCAGUAACUCGUUUAUAAAUGACUGUCAAUUAAUAAAUUUAAAAAUUCAAUAACGUCUACGUCACAUUUGUGGGUAAUACUCAGUUUAGACUAAUUUUUAGAGGUUUUUAACUUGCUUUAGUUUUCAAUUUUUUUCGUCUUAGUGAUUUUUUUUACCGAUUAAUCAAAUAUUUAUACUUUUUGAUUUGUAUAAAUAAAAUUUCACCCAAUAAAAAAAAAUAGUUAAUUUAUAAAGUAUUUUUUUAUUUUUAAUGAACUUCAGGUGAAAAUUUUUACAUUUUUCAACUUUUUUUCAUUGAGAAAAAUCGAAAAUAUAUAAUUUUUUCAUCAAAUAAUUAAAAAGUCUUAUUAAAAAAAUUAAUAAUCAAAAUUGGUAAAAAAAUCUCAAAAAAAAAUUGGCCAAGAUAGCUUUUUGGUAGGACUCACUUUAA
rnacentral:lncRNA from 1 species